rnacentral:lncRNA from 1 species
UUCCUGAUUUUCCCAAAUAUCUCCUAAUUUUUCCCGAAAAUCUCCUGACUUUGUGAGAAAUUUCUUAGUGUUCACGAUUAUGGUGUUAAAAUUCUAUUCUAUUCAAAUUUCUCGAAGUGAGUGUAUGGCGGCAAUCGGCAAAUUGCAGUAAUAAUACAGAUGUAGUGCAAAAAUACUUUCCUUCUUAUUUUUACGUACAAAACGUACUGAAACUGUCUGAACUAGCAUGACAAUGACGAAUUUUUCCGUAAAAACACGAAGGAAAACCUUUUCGCACUACAUCUGUACUGUACAUAACACUGCCUUAAAUACGUCAUAGUAAUAGUAUUAUGAACCAAGUUUUAAAUGACAAGAUUUGACUGACCAUAUUUUUUUUAAAUAUUUAAUUAACGUAGAUGUUACAAAUAAUUGUGAAAAUAAACUAAAAGAAGAAUAAUAUCAUCAAUUUAUGACUUUGGAGAAAUUAUGUCUCCUGAUUUCUCCUGAUUUUUAGGACAUGUGUCUCCUGUUUUUUCAAAUUGGACCUGGCAACACUGCCUGCCGUCGCCAUCUUUCAUUUCCUCUCGUCUCGAGCGUUGCGUGUCUGUUCUUGCUGUAAUAAAGUGCUGUAUCAAAAAAUGGAUCACAUUGAAGACCAUGAUCAUGCAGGUUGUUUUUGUUGCUGCUUCAUCUUGGACAAGUUGGCAACCAGCAACAAGACCCGGCCUGCGAGCAAUGACCAGUGAAAUCCGCAACGGACCUAUAAGAAGCUAUCCCUGUUCCUGCACUAUCAUCGGGCGAGGUGAACAUCGCUGGUCCAUGUGAUGCGGCGGAUCUAUCUCGAAGUUAACAAAAUGGUUGUAUUUGUGGCGCAGCGCUCUGCUACUGCCACGGGCUGUUCUCCGACUGGAGACCCACGUGUCAGCUCGACAGUGUCGCCUCCUUGCUUCGCCCCGGUGGAAUUUGGUAUGUCACCUGAGGCGAGGAGGAUUUGAGUAGGUGCAUAUGCGAACGGCCUAAGUGACGCCUCUUCAGCGCGACGGGUGUAUUCUCCUCAAAUAUGAGAAGGAGCUCGGGUCCUGUGGGCUCUUAACCGUCGUAGUUUUCACGCAGUGUUUUAAAAUAGUGUUUGUGUGUAUUAUGGUAACAUACGUUCAAUUCAAAUGUGUAACACUACAUAACUAUACAUAGGUAUCACUUUUCAUUAGUAUGGUGAUGUUUUUCCGGCCUGAAGAAAAAACUUCAAAUAAAAUAAUUAUGUUGUCUGUA